AGCGAACGCUGGCGGCAGGCUUAACACAUGCAAGUCGAACGGGCACUUCGGUGCUAGUGGCAGACGGGUGAGUAACACGUGGGAACGUACCUUUCGGUUCGGAAUAAUCCAGGGAAACUUGGACUAAUACCGGAUACGCCCUUCGGGGGAAAGAUUCAUCGCCGAUAGAUGGGCCCGCGUCUGAUUAGCUAGUUGGUGAGGUAAUGGCUCACUAAGGCGACGAUCAGUAGCUGGUCUGAGAGGAUGAUCAGCCACAUUGGGACUGAGACACGGCCCAAACUCCUACGGGAGGCAGCAGUGGGGAAUAGUGGACAAUGGGCGCAAGCCUGAUCCAGCCAUGCCGCGUGAGUGAUGAAGGCCUUAGGGUUGUAAAGCUCUUUUGUCCGGGAAGAUAAUGACUGUACCGGAAGAAUAAGCCCCGGCUAACUUCGUG
rnacentral:rRNA from 1 species